GGCGGACGGGUGAGUAACACGUAGGAACCUGCCCGGAAGUGGGGGAUAACUCCUCGAAAGAGGAGCUAAUACCGCAUGUGGUCUACGGACCAAAGCAGCAAUGCGCUUCUGGAGGGGCCUGCGGUGGAUUAGCUAGUUGGUGGGGUAAUGGCUCACCAAGGCGACGAUCUGUAGCUGGUCUGAGAGGAUGAUCAGCCACACUGGGACUGAGACACGGCCCAGACUCC
rnacentral:rRNA from 1 species